rnacentral:rRNA from 1 species
UACGUAGGGGGCGAGCGUUGUUCGGAAUUACUGGGCGUAAAGCGCGCGCAGGCGGUUCUCCAAGUCAGUGGUGAAAGCCCGGAGCUCAACUCCGGAACUGCCAUUGAAACUGUUGAACUUGAGGACGAGAGAGGUGAGUGGAAUUCCCAGUGUAGAGGUGAAAUUCGUAGAUAUUGGGAAGAACACCAGUGGCGAAAGGCGGCUCACUGGCUCGUAUCUGACGCUCAGGCGCGAUAGCGUGGGGGAUCAAACAGG